UAUGAUUCUGUUACAAACUUGGUUAAUGUUACACUUUCAAGAUUUGCUAAAAAACCAAAGUUGCCACUUUUCUCUUAUCAUAUAGAUCUCUCUCCAUUUCUCAAAGAAAAUAUGUAUGUUGGUUUUUCUGCUUCAACUGGUUUGCUUGCAAGUUCACAUUAUGUUUUUGGUUGGAGCUUUAAGUUGAAUGGCCAAGCGAAAUUUCUAGACUUGGAUUUACUUCCAUCAUUGCCUGGUCUCAAG
rnacentral:misc_RNA from 1 species